UGCUGUUUCCUGCACAGAUGCGUAGGCUGACCAGACUGUUUUCCACACUACCUUGUGCACCUCUCUCUUUGUCUCAGUCUAAACCCCCAGAGGUUAAGAAGCGUGUCAACUCGCCACUCCUGACAGAAUCCGUACAGAGCAGAUGCUCCGAGUCAGCUUGAAUCUGAGGAAAGGCGCUACUUUAGCCUUGUUAAUGUACUAAACAGUACAGGUCUGAGAAGACAGAACGAGUGGAUAGCACUAUGUAGGAGGAGAGCCUCCUCCCAGCUGGGGUCUCUGCCCAUGCCUUUGGAAGCCCCACAUUUUGGAAUCAACUCCUUGAAACUUUCUACGUGAUUUCUCAUGCCUGGUGAUCAGUGCUCUAUGGACGGGGUACCCCAAGCUGAGGCCUUAAAUGAGCAGUAGUCCUCAUCUCUUCACCAUGGAACACCUUCACUGCUCUGUAUGCUAAACUCUGUACAGGGUCACCCCAAUUUGCUGAGGAACUUCAGGGCUCCCUCUAUGUGAUUUUCCUGAGACCCCAGGAUUUAAUCACUGUUCACCACCAGGAGGAUGGCCUGGUGGAAAGAUCUCCCCUGUAGGCCAGUGUGGUAUUUCUCUCACUGGACUUCAUGAUCUCAGGAUGGUGCUAGCAUGCUAACCCAGGAUCUUCCUGCCCCCAGUCCAUUAGGAAGAGUUUGGCUGCAUCAGCUCCAGGCUCUGGGGUCUGUGGAGGCCCAGGCUUCAUGCUCUGCUGUGGGAGUUCCAAUUCAGUACUCACUAACUUUUUUGGGCUGUGUCCUAAACUGUGCCUGGCUUCUCCGAGGGUUCCGGAACAUUGUGGCAUAAGGCCAAGAGGCCAUUCUGACUCUUGAUUGAUGUCCUCUCAAGACUGAUGUGUUGGCUUGUGUCCUCAUCCAGAUGAGUGACACUCAGACCCACUGUGUUCUGCUCCUGCCCAUCUCACUCACGUGGAUGAGGCCCACGACCAUUUGCACCUUUCUGCUGAAUUUCAUUUCUCACCACCACCACCCCCCCCCCCGCCCUCCGUCAUCCUCACAGUGUAGAUAAGUCUCAUACGCACAGGCCCGUUAGUUCAUUUUUAAGGAGGUGCCAUUGAAAGAAACCAUGCAUCUACCCAGACUGACUGCGAAAUAACUCAAAUGUUUUAUUUUUGCUCCUUGAAGACUAGAAGAGGGGUCUGUGCACACAGUCCUCCGUAGUUAACUCACUGUUGCGGCUGCUGCAGCCUGCUGCACCUCUGCAAUCUCAACCAUGCCAAAGUGACCCUUCACUUUCAUGGCUUUCCUUCCUCUCUGCCCAUCCCUCCUAGGACCUUAUUGUCUGUAUUUAUGAUGCCCAAUGUGAAACCAUCCAGAAAUGCAUAGUAGUUGUGCCUGGAAUAUAACUUGUCUGACUUGGUAUGAUCCUAAGUACUUAGCAUGAAAACAACAAUGACAACAUCCUGAAGACUGUGUAUAAUUUAAAAUUUUUGAAUUUAUAUUGGAGUAGUAGUUCAAAUGCAUUGGCUUCAAUUAAAUAUAUAGUUAGGACUAA